ACCGACGAGUCUCAAAUAGGACGAAACGCGCGUCCUGGAU
rnacentral:hammerhead_ribozyme from 1 species